rnacentral:lncRNA from 1 species
GAAACAGUCCUGAACCUUUUCUCUCAUGGGUUGAAAACAUAGACAACUUCAUUGAAAAGAAUCAAGUACCUUCAUGGGAGAAGCUACGCCUUGCUGUCAGUCUACUGCGGGGGGAGGCUAAAGCAUGGUGGAGAGCAGAGGAGGAAGCACGCUGGUAUGAUGAAGAACCGAUCUACACUUGGGAGGAGCUUAAAGAAAUCAUGGGUUCUAAGUAUGUACCCAAUUCUCAGUGGG